GGGGCGGUGGGGCGGGGCGCGGUGCCCGUUAGCGGACGGGGCUUGGUGUUGGGGGCCCCACGGCGCGGGGCGUGCUGGGCCCGGGCACUCGGAUGGCGGGACACAGCGGCUGAGGCUGAGCCCUCUUACCUCCAGGAAGUGAGGAGAUGGCUGCUCCUUGCCAAGACAGCGCGGUCAGGUUGCUGGCACACACUGGGCAGGCAAGGAGGUUGUGUCCAAGGUUGGCAGGAGUGAUGCUUCUUCAAGUGCAUGUGGCAUUUCAAGUCAGUCACCACUUGAGAAAGUCACAGGAAAGGAGAGCAGGGCAGCAGAUGAAAUGUUUGCAAGGAAAGCAGAAUGAUAUGCAAAGAUGAGAUUAAGCAGAUGUUUCAGGUCUACAUUACAAUUCAGACAGAAAUCUAAAUCAGCUGAAGACAUCAGAACAAAAUGCGUUGUAAGUGUUUCUGUGCUAUCAAUUACUCAAGGAAUAUUUACAGGAUGCGUGACACCAUAACAAAGAACUGCUUAGCAGAAUCCAAUUAAAAUCCAGAUCUCACCCAGGCACCCUUGGGAGAUUUCCCUUCUUUCAGCUGUGCCAGCACACUGCUACUUCAUCAGCCCAGUCCUGCGCUCUGAGGGGAUGGCAAUAACAUAAUGUGAAGGGAAAAAAAACUUGUUUGCCAGCCUGGUGGAAGAUGGAUGGAUGGGACCUCCCUAUUGUGCCCCAGGAGGUGCUCUGCAGGGCAAGGUAGAGGGAGUGUGAGCAAAGUGUCUCCAUGCACCGCGACAUGGGAUAACGCUGCAGUGGGUGGUGUCACUUUUGACUCCCGGGGACGAUUCGGAUUUAUUGGCCAGUGUUAGAGCCCGACCGACCCCGGGGUAUAAUAAAGGUGCUUGGCCGCUGCCGGAUGCCUCGCGGCCCGCCCGAAA